CCUACGGGCGGCUGCAGUGGGGAAUAUUGCGCAAUGGGCGCAAGCCUGAUGCAGCCAUGCCGCGUGUGUGAAGAAGGCCUUCGGGUUGUAAAGCACUUUCAGCGGGGAGGAAGGCGGUGAGGUUAAUAACCUCAUCGAUUGACGUUACCCGCAGAAGAAGCACCGGCUAACUCCGUGCCAGCAGCCGCGGUAAUACGGAGGGUGCAAGCGUUAAUCGGAAUUACUGGGCGUAAAGCGCACGCAGGCGGUCUGUCAAGUCGGAUGUGAAAUCCCCGGGCUCAACCUGCGAACUGCAUUCGAAACUGGCAGGCUAGAGUCUUGUAGAGGGGGGUAGAAUUCCAGGUGUAGCGGUGAAAUGCGUAGAGAUCUGGAGGAAUACCGGUGGCGAAGGCGGCCCCCUGGACAAAGACUGACGCUCAGGUGCGAAAGCGUGGGGAGCAAACAGGAUUAGAUACCCUAGUAGUC
rnacentral:rRNA from 1 species